rnacentral:rRNA from 1 species
GGUGAGCGGCGGACGGGUUAGUAACGCGUGGGAACAUACCCUUUUCUACGGAAUAGCCUCGGGAAACUGAGAGUAAUACCGUAUAAGCCCUUCGGGGGAAAGAUUUAUCGGGAAAGGAUUGGCCCGCGUUAGAUUAGAUAGUUGGUGGGGUAAUGGCCUACCAAGUCUACGAUCUAUAGCUGGUUUUAGAGGAUGAUCAGCAACACUGGGACUGAGACACGGCCCAGACUCCUACGGGAGGCAGCAGUGGGGAAUCUUAGACAAUGGGCGCAAGCCUGAUCUAGCCAUGCCGCGUGUGUGAUGAAGGUCUUAGGAUCGUAAAGCACUUUCGCCAGGGAUGAUAAUGACAGUACCUGGUAAAGAAACCCCGGCUAACUCCGUGCCAGCAGCCGCGGUAAUACGGAGGGGGUUAGCGUUGUUCGGAAUUACUGGGCGUAAAGCGUACGUAGGCGGAUUGGAAAGUUGGGGGUGAAAUCCCAGGGCUCAACCCUGGAACUGCCUCCAAAACUAUCAGUCUAGAGUUCGAGAGAGGUGAGUGGAAUUCCAAGUGUAGAGGUGAAAUUCGUAGAUAUUUGGAGGAACACCAGUGGCGAAGGCGGCUCACUGGCUCGAUACUGACGCUGAGGUACGAAAGUGUGGGGAGCAAACAGGAUUAGAUACCCUGGUAGUCCACACCGUAAACGAUGAAUGCCAGUCGUCGGGCAGUAUACUGUUCGGUGACACACCUAACGGAUUAAGCAUUCCGC